rnacentral:rRNA from 1 species
GACGAACGCUGGCGGCGUGCUUAACACAUGCAAGUCGAACGGAAAGGCCCAGCCUUUGUUGGGUGCUCGAGUGGCGAACGGGUGAGUAACACGUGAGUAACCUGCCCUGGACUUUGGGAUAACUUCAGGAAACUGGGGCUAAUACCGGAUAGGAGGUCCGGCUGCAUGGCGGGGGGUGGAGAGUUUCGGCGGUGGGGGGAGCACGCGCCGCUUAUGAGCGUGUGGGGGGGGAUGUGGUUUAACAGGGCCUUCAGGGGUAGCCGGCCUGAGAGGGUGCCCGGCCACUUUGGGUCUGAGAUGCCGCCCAGACUCCUACGGGGGAGAGCAGUGGGGUAUAUUGCACUAUGGGCGGGCGCCUGGUGCAGCAGCGCCGCGUGCGGGAUGGCGGCCUUCGUGUUGUACACCGCUUUCGCCUGUGGCGGCGCGUUAGUGACGGUAAUGGGUAAAGAAGCACCGGCUAACUACGUG